rnacentral:tRNA from 1 species
GUGGGUACAACUCAGGGUACAGUGCAUGCUUAGCAUGCAUGAGGUCCUGGGUUCAAUCCCCAGUAACUCCA